rnacentral:rRNA from 1 species
GAUGAACGCUGGCGGCGUGCCUAAUACAUGCAAGUCGAGCGAACAGACGAGGAGCUUGCUCCUCUGACGUUAGCGGCGGACGGGUGAGUAACACGUGGAUAACCUACCUAUAAGACUGGGAUAACUUCGGGAAACCGGAGCUAAUACCGGAUAAUAUAUUGAACCGCAUGGUUCAAUAGUGAAAGACGGUUUUGCUGUCACUUAUAGAUGGAUCCGCGCCGCAUUAGCUAGUUGGUAAGGUAACGGCUUACCAAGGCGACGAUGCGUAGCCGACCUGAGAGGGGGGUCGGCCACACUGGAACUGAGACACGGUCCAGACUCCUACGGGAGGCAGCAGUAGGGAAUCUUCCGCAAUGGGGGAAAGCCUGACGGAGCCACGGCGCGUGUGUGAUGAAGGUCUUCGGAUCGUAAAACUCUGUUAUUAGGGAAGAACAAAUGUGUAAGUAACUAUGCACGUCUUGACGGUACCUAAUCAGAAAGCCACGGCUAACUACGUG